rnacentral:other from 1 species
GUCCCCCUGUUGUGUUCGAGUAUGAAUUAAAUUUUUUGAGCCAACAGUUUGUAAAAGGGGUUGAAGAAUCGGCUGCGGUGUGCAUGCCUUUUAAAACUAGAAGGAAGCCUAAAGCAGUUCACGGAUACCCCACCUGUCCUUGACAGGUUCAAAAAAUAGUUUAUGCACGGCAUAAGCGGGGGGGCU